rnacentral:rRNA from 1 species
GUGCCAGCAGCCGCGGUAAUACCAGCUCUCCGAGUGGUGGGGAUGAUUAUUGGGCCUAAAGCAUCCGUAGCCGGCUGGACAAGUCCCCUGUUAAAUCCAACGAUCCAAUCGUUGGUCUGCGGGGGAUACUGUCCGGCUUGGGGGCGGGAGAGGCCGCCGGUAUUUCCGGGGUAGGGGUGAAAUCCUAUAAUCCCGGGAGGACCACCAGUGGCGAAGGCUGUCGGCUAGAACGCGCCCGACGGUGAGGGAUGAAAGCUGGGGGAGCGAACCGGAUUAGAUACCCGGGUAGUCCCAGCUGUAAACGAUGCAGGCUAGGUGUUAGGGCGGCUACGUGCCGCUCUAGUGCCGCAGGGAAGCUGUUAAGCCUGCCGCCUGGGGAGUACGGUCGCAAGGCUGAAACUUAAAUGAAUUGACGGGG